AUGGAUUUAUUGUGGAGGACUUAAGGAAGAAAAAGGAUUAACGGCUAGGGUUUUCUUUUUCUUUUUGCUUAAUUUUUCCGUUAAUUUUAAUAUGUCAUAUGACAUAUAUUUAUAAUGAGAAAACCCUAACGUAAUCCUAAUCGAAUUCCUAUUCCGAUUAGAUUAUCCAUUAACCCACAAGUUGGUUAUGUACCGUCCUUGCUAUCGUCGCGGAAGGCCGUAGAGGUGGUAGAGAAGGGUCGGAGAGAAAAAAAAAUAGAGAGUCGCAAUGCAGCCUCGACGGGGUCGGAGGUGAGGACGGCGGGGGGUGUGUGGACGAGGGCGAGGGCGUGAGUGGUAGAGGUGAGGCAGGUCGUUUCCGCCUCUGCCUCCUCUGUCUUCUUCGGAGAGAAAAAAAAGAACGCGAGAACAAAAAAGGAGAGAGAAAAAUGUAUAAGGAUAUUUUGGUCAGUUUGCUGAAAAUUCGGACUGAAUUUGCAAAAUCGAAAAAGACGGCCCAGUUUUGCAAAAGGUCAAAACUUAUGAUUUUUUUAUACAAAUUGGUCAAAAAAAAUUGCCAAACAAUUUUACAAAAUAACUUCCAAAAAAUUUCUUUUUAUCUAAACUCAGCUAAAUGCUGUACAACUUUUAACCAAAAUUACUUCUCUAAUUUAAAUUUUUUUUUUCAGAAAUCACUUUUUUGAGAAUUUUGGCCAAACUGGCCUUUAGGUGCUACUA
rnacentral:lncRNA from 1 species